rnacentral:rRNA from 1 species
AUUGAACGCUGGCGGCAGGCCUAACACAUGCAAGUCGAACGAGUGGCGGACGGGUGAGUAAUGUCUGGGAAACUGCCUGAUGGAGGGGGAUAACUACUGGAAACGGUAGCUAAUACCGCAUACCAUCAGAUGUGCCCAGAUGGGAUUAGCUUGUUGGUGGGGUAACGGCUCACCAAGGCGACGAUCCCUAGCUGGUCUGAGAGGAUGACCAGCCACACUGGGACCGAGACACGGUCCAGACGCCUAAGGGAGGGAGCAGUGGGGAAUAUUGGAAAAUGGGCGAAAGGCUGAUGCAGCCAUGGCGGGUGUAUGAAGAAGGCCUUCGGGUUGUAAAGUACUUUCAGCGGGGAGGCGUUACCCGCAGAAGAAGCACCGGCUAAAUCCGUGGCAGCAGCCGCGGUAAUAC